rnacentral:rRNA from 1 species
GAUGAACGCUAGCUACAGGCUUAACACAUGCAAGUCGCGGGGCAGCAUGGGGGUUGCUUGCAAUCCCCGAUGGCGACCGGCGCACGGGUGAGUAACGCGUAUCCAACAUGCCCUUCACCACGGGAUAACCCGGCGAAAGUCGGAAUAAUACCGUAUGUUGUCCAUUGACGGCAUCCGAUUUGGACGAAAGGCUUGGCGGUGAGGGAUGGGGAUGCGUCCGAUUAGCCAGACGGCGGGGUAACGGCCCACCGUGGCUACGAUCGGUAGGGGUUCUGAGAGGAAGGUCCCCCACACUGGAACUGAGACACGGUCCAGACUCCUACGGGAGGCAGCAGUGAGGAAUAUUGGUCAAUGGGCGUGAGCCUGAACCAGCCAAGUAGCGUGCAGGAUGACGGCCCUAUGGGUUGUAAACUGCUUUUAUGCGGGGAUAAAGUGGCCCACGUGUGGGCUUUUGCAGGUACCGCAUGAAUAAGGACCGGCUAAGUCCGUG